CCUACGGGUGGCAGCAGUGGGGAAUAUUGCGCAAUGGGCGAAAGCCUGACGCAGCGACGCCGCGUGAGGGAUGACGGUCUUCGGAUCGUAAACCUCUGUCAGCAGGGAAGAACGGUCACUGUGCUAAUCAGCCGUGAAUUGACGGUACCUGCAAAGGAAGCACCGGCUAACUCCGUGCCAGCAGCCGCGGUAAUACGGAGGGUGCGAGCGUUAAUCGGAAGUACUGGGCGUAAAGCGCUCGUAGGCGGUAUGUCAAGUCAAGGGUGAAAUCCCCGCGCACAACGUGGGCACUGCCUUUGAAACUGGCAAACUGGAGUGUGUGAGAGGAUAGCGGAAUGCCAGGUGUAGGAGUGAAAUCCGUAGAUAUCUGGAGGAACAUCAGUGGCGAAGGCGACUAUCUGGCACAUAACUGACGCUGAGGAGCGAAAGCGUGGGUAGCAAACAGGAUUAGAUACCCUAGUAGUC
rnacentral:rRNA from 1 species